UACGUAGGUGACCAGCGUUGUCCGGAUUUACUGGGCGUAAAGAGCGCGCAGGCGGUCGUUCAAGUCGAGUGUGAAAGCCCCCGGCUCAACUGGGGAGGGUCAUUCGAUACUGAUCGACUGGAAGGCAGGAGAGGGAAGCGGAAUUCCCGGUGUAGUGGUGAAAUGCGUAGAUAUCGGGAGGAACACCAGUGGCGAAGGCGGCUUCCUGGCCUGUUCUUGACGCUGAGGCGGCGAAAGCUAGGGGAGCAAACGGG
rnacentral:rRNA from 1 species